rnacentral:misc_RNA from 1 species
UCCGGUUUGUCACCGGCAGUCCCAUUAGAGUGCUCAACUGAAUGUAGCAACUAAUGGCAAGGGUUGCGCUCGUUGCGGGACUUAACCCAACAUCUCACGGCACGAGCUGACGACAGCCAUGCAGCACCUGUGCAGGCUCCCGAAGGAGCACCGUGUCUCCACGGUUUCACCCUGCAUGUCAAGCCCUGGUAAGGUUCUUCGCGUUGCGUCGAAUUAAGCCACAUGCUCCGCCGCUUGUGCGGGCCCCCGUCAAUUCCUUUGAGUUUCAGCCUUGCGGCCGUAGUCCCCAGGCGGUGUACUCACUGCGUAAGCUGAGGCACCGAGGAGCGCAAUCACUCCCCAGCGCCGGGUACACAUCGUUUACGGCGUGGACUAC